GAUGAACGCUAGCGGCAGGCUUAACACAUGCAAGUCGAGGGGGCAGCAUGAGACGGAGAUUCGUCGAAGUCUUGAUGGCGACCGGCGCAAGGGUGCGUAACGCGUGAGCAACUUGCCCGUUUCUGGGGAAUAACCGGUGGAAACGCCGACUAAUACCCCAUAGUAUCAGAUUUAGGCAUCUUUAUCUGAUUAGCUAGUUGUUGGGUAAAGGCCUACCAAGGCGACGAUCAGUAGCGGGUCUGAGAGGAUGAUCCGCCACACUGGGACUGAGACACGGCCCAG
rnacentral:rRNA from 1 species